AGAAUAACUGGUCGGCGAUAACAAAAGGAUUCUACCCCUUCGUUCCUCCUCCCUUACCACCUCUUCUUUCUUCUUCUUCCCUUUUUGUGUCCUCCCCCCCUUACCCCAAGUUGCUUCUGAAAUCGCGCGACGAAUAAUCGCAGUCUUCGUCCGUUAUGUACAAAACGAAAGAGGAAGGGGAGGAGCGAGCGAGUUUCUUUCCUUUUUUUGUUCCUUGUCUUUUGUCCUCUUCCUUUUUUUUUCUUUUUGUUUCUUGUCUUAAAACGAGAGCACGAUAGAGUUGUUAAGAAGAGUCAAGGACGCACAGCUAAAGAUAGUACGAGAUUGAUAGGAUUAUUAACUAGUGGAGUAAUGAGAUUGGCGGUAACAGUAAAAUGUCUCAGCGUGCGUGAGUCACACGCGUCAGAAUGGUGUCCAACCAUAAAUCAUAUUCCGUUAGGUAAAAAAAAGAAAAAGAAGAAAGGAGAAGCAAAAGAAAA
rnacentral:lncRNA from 1 species